UACGAAGGGGGCUAGCGUUGCUCGGAAUCACUGGGCGUAAAGGGUGCGUAGGCGGGUCUUUAAGUCAGGGGUGAGAUCCUGGAGCUCAACUCCAGAACUGCCUUUGAUACUGAAGAUCUUGAGUUCGGGAGAGGUGAGUGGAACUGCGAGUGUAGAGGUGAAAUUCGUAGAUAUUCGCAAGAACACCAGUGGCGAAGGCGGCUCACUGGCCCGAUACUGACGCUGAGGCACGAAAGCGUGGGGAGCGAACAGG
rnacentral:rRNA from 1 species